UACAGAGGUCUCAAGCGUUGUUCGGAUUCAUUGGGCGUAAAGGGUGCGUAGGCGGCGCGGUAAGUCGGGUGUGAAAUCUUGGAGCUUAACUCCGAAACUGCAUUCGAUACUGCCGUGCUUGAGGACUGGAGAGGAGACUGGAAUUUACGGUGUAGCGGUUAAAUGCGUAGAUAUCGUAAGGAAGACCAGUGGCGAAGGCGGGUCUCUGGGCAGUUCCUGACGCUGAGCCACGAAGGCCAGGGGAGCAAACGGG
rnacentral:rRNA from 1 species